rnacentral:rRNA from 1 species
UUGAACGCUGGCGGCAUGAUUUACACAUGCAAGUCGAACGGUAACAGGCCGCAAGGUGCUGACGAGUGGCGAACGGGUGAGUAAUGCAUCGGAACGUGCCCAGUCGUGGGGGAUAACUACUCGAAAGAGUGGCUAAUACCGCAUACGAUCUAUGGAUGAAAGCGGGGGACCGUAAGGCCUCGCGCGAUUGGAUCGGCCGAUGUCAGAUUAGGUAGUUGGUGGGGUAAAGGCUCACCAAGCCAACGAUCUGUAGCUGGUCUGAGAGGACGACCAGCCACACUGGGACUGAGACACGGCCCAGACUCCUACGGGAGGCAGCAGUGGGGAAUUUUGGACAAUGGGCGCAAGCCUGAUCCAGCAAUGCCGCGUGCAGGAAGAAGGCCUUCGGGUUGUAAACUGCUUUUGUACGGAACGAAACGGCUCUGGUUAAUACCCGGGGCUAAUGACGGUACCGUAAGAAUAAGCACCGGCUAACUACGUG